GGCACCUCCCAUGGUUCCCCCAGGAAUGGGUGGUGUGGACACCUGCCAGGCGUUGAAGACCACCCCUGGCUCUGUGCCCCUGUCUCAUCAGAUGGGCAGCAGGAGGCUCCGGAGGUGGCGCCCAGGCUCUGAGCUACCCUAGGACUGCAGACUAGCGGGCAUUGGCCAGAGACAUGGCCCAGCCACUGGCCUUCAUCCUCGAUGUCCCUGAGACCCCAGGGGACCAGGGCCAGGACCUCAGCCCCUAUGAUGAAAGCGAAGUGCACGACUCCUUCCAGCAGCUCAUCCAGGAGCAGAGCCAGUGCACGGCCCAGGAGGGGCUGGAGCUGCAGCAGAGAGAGCGAGAGGUGACAGGAAGUAGCCAGCAGACACUCUGGCGGCCCGAGGGCACCCAGAGCACGGCCACACUGCGCAUCCUGGCCAGCAUGCCCAGCCGCACCAUUGGUGAGUGGGACCCUCAGCCUCGGCCUCGGCCCCGGCUCCGAGUUGACCCCAGUCCCUGGGGCUGGGCUGGGCUUCCCGCCA
rnacentral:sRNA from 1 species